rnacentral:rRNA from 1 species
GGAAAGUUGAAAAGCACUCUGAAGAGAGAGUUAAAAGAACGUGAAAACGAUUAAGUGGAAGCAAACAGGUCUAUUGGGAGGUGUAUAGUUUUCUAUGCAUCUGCUAAUACAUAUGUGGAGUUUCUAUUAUUCUAUUUUAAGAGGACUCACAUAUGUGAGAACCCUUAUAAUGGUUGAACGUUAUCUCCCUAUAUGAAUAUUAGCAUUUAUGAUAGUUACCUGUUUGACCCGUCUUGAAACACGGACCAAGAAGUUUAUUGUAUACGCGAGUCAUUAAGUGUUAAAACUUAUUGGCAUAAUGAAAGUAAAGGUUCACUUGUUGAGCUAAUGUAUGAUAAAGUGUUUACGGACAUUUUAGCAGUACAGUCCUAUUCUUAUGGCUUGCCAUGGAGUGGAGAUAGAGCGUAUGCAAUGAGACCCGAAAGAUGGUGAUCUAUGCUUGAGCAGGAUGAAGCCGGAGGAAACUCUGGUGAAAGUCCGUAACGGUUCUGACGUGCAAAUCGAUCGUCUGACUUGAGUAUAGGGGCGAAAGACUAAUCGAACCAUCUAGUAGCU